CCGUGUCUCCCUGUCAGCUGAUGGCCAAACACAGAAAGGCUCACAGGCUCCAUGGGAACAAAAUCCAUGCUGCAGUACUGAAUGGUUCACAUUGUCAGCUGAGAUCCUGAAUGAAGCAAAUCACCUGGAAUAAUUAGAAACAGAGGCACUGGCAGCAGUGUGGGCUUCUUCCCAUGGAGUACCCAGAGUUGUCUGCUAAUGUUCAUCUUUAUGCUGUUGUCCAACCCAUCAAGUAAAUCAACCAAGCUCAGGACUCCUUGCUGAAAGAAGGCAGAGAAAAUUUGGGUUCAGGGAAAACCAGCGUCCUGCUACAAGAGCCAUAUCUGAUGUGAUGCAGCAACUGGGGCACCACUUUGAUCUACAAUAUCCCUGGAUUAGAAUAUGCAUCUGCAUAUGUUCCUGUGUGAUACUGGAAGACAUCAGGGAAGAACAAAGUGCAUAAAAAUCUCCCAUUUUUAAACAAACAAACAAACAAGCAACUAGAAAAUCAGAGAGUUUCUUUUCAUUGAUGUUGAAGACUCCCUGUUGGACUGCAGUUUUGAUGGACAGUUCCUUUCCC
rnacentral:lncRNA from 1 species